GACGAACGCUGGCGGCGUGCUUAACACAUGCAAGUCGAACGGAAAGGCCCUGCUUUUGUGGGGUGCUCGAGUGGCGAACGGGUGAGUAACACGUGAGUAACCUGCCCUUGACUUUGGGAUAACUUCAGGAAACUGGGGCUAAUACCGGAUAGGAGCUCCUGCUGCAUGGUGGGGGUUGGAAAGUUUCGGCGGUUGGGGAUGGACUCGCGGCUUAUCAGCUUGUUGGUGGGGUAGUGGCUUACCAAGGCUUUGACGGGUAGCCGGCCUGAGAGGGUGACCGGCGACGUUGGGAGAGAGAUACGGCACAGACGGCUGCGGGAGGCAGCAGUGGGGAGUAUUGCACAAUGGGCGGAGGCCUGAUGCAGCAACGCCGCGGGCGGGAUGAAGGCCUGCGGGUUGUAAACCGCUUUCGCCUGGGACGAAGCGUGAGUGAAGGUAAUGGGUAAAGAAGCACAGGAUAACUACGUG
rnacentral:rRNA from 1 species